GAGGGUGUCAUAAGACUUGCUAACUCUUUAAUCUGGGAUUAAUCCCCAGCUCCCUC
rnacentral:tRNA from 1 species